rnacentral:lncRNA from 10 species
UAUAUAUACAUAUAUGUAUGUAUAUAUGUAUGUUGUGAAGAUUAAAUGAUAUGUAUAUAUGUGCGUAUAUAUAAGUACAUAUAUGUAUGUUGUGAAGAGUAAAUGAUGAAAAAUAUACACACACAUAUAUAUAAUUUGAUUCAUUUUAUAACCACAGAAACUGAGGCUGAAUGAUGCUAAGUAACUUGAUCCACAGUCACAUGCUAAUAAGCGGCAAAGCCAUGUGCAGAACCCAGAUGUGCCCCUACCAAAUGGACCCACAGAGCACCAUGGAGAGAAGUCUCAAAGAAGCUGCAGUCCUUCCUGAUGUGUUUUAAUUCACCUGCUUUUCAGGCCUUCCCUCCACAGAAGACAAGAGUGAAUGAGGCCAGGAGAUUGAGAAAAGCGUGCAGCUAACAGGUUUCAGUGGAUCUGACCCACUCUGAUGAUGAAAUCUAAAAGGAGAGCCUCAUCUCUCUUCUGAAAAUGCUGGGAAGGAGGCUUAGAGAACAGUCAACUAAAAGGUGACAGCCACAGGUGGGAGUGACCACUUCAUAUUUACAAGACUGAGCCACACUGGAUACUGUCUGCCAUUUACACACAACCUGAAGACCAGUUCAGUCCCAUAUGGUUUUUGGAGAGGAAAAGACAGACAUGCAUGGGAUCAGCUGCAGAACUGGCAAAGAGAGAGUUACACAAUAGUUUUCUUUUUCUCCCUCUAGAAGCAAAUAUAAACCUACUUUAUGAUGGCAGUCCUCGUUUCCCAGAGAAGCACUUUUGCAAUAAUAACACCAUAGAAUAAAAGCUUGAGCGACCAGGGGCAUUUAGAAAAAUAAAGCCUUCCCGCUUCCAAGUAUUGUGUUGUCAUUGCCCUGUUCCUUACAUUUUCUAUCAGGAGCUCACCAUAUUCCUACAUACUCCAAGACCGAAGUGCACAGUCAUUGUCCCUCCCCAGUGGCGUUGCUUUGAGGAAUAGCUGAAUUAUCAUGUGGACAGUCACUCUGAACAGUGUCUGGUACAUUUAGUAAGCUCUCUAUAAGUCGUGGCUAUCGCUACUGUUGUGCUGGUGUUGUUAAAUGUGGCUCAAUUAGCCACAACAUACAUAUUACAUGCCAAAUAUUUUUAAAGCAAAUAUGUGGCUUGUUUGUAGUUUUCAUCUGUAUUCUAUAUCCCAUGGGGAGAAUUCCUUUUUCUUUUCUUUUUUUUUUUUUUUUUGAGACGGAGUCUCGCUCUGUCGCCCAGGCUGGAGUGCAGUGGCGCGAUCUCGGCUCACUUCAAGCUCCGCCUCCCGGGUUCACGCCAUUCUCCUGCCUCAGCCUCCCGAGUAGCUGGGACUACAGGUGCCCACUAAUUUUUUGUAUUUUUAGUAGAGACGGGAUUUCACCGUGUUAGCCAGGAUGGUCUCGAUCUCCUGACCUCGUGAUCCACCUGCCUCGGCCUCCCAGAGUGCUGGGAUUACAGGCGUUAGCCACUGAGCCUGGCCUCCCAUGGGGAGAAUUCUAAUCAUGAAAGCAGCCAUUUAAAAAGGAUGAAAAUAUUUAAGCUACCUACUUUCUCUCUUACCUUUUAAACUUUGUAAGUGUCUAGAGCAGGGCUUCUCGGCCUAGGCACUGUUGACAUUUGGGGCUGGACAAUUCUUUGCUGUGUGGGGGGAUGCCCUGUGGACUGCAUGAUGUUUACCAGCAUCCCUGGGCUCUAUUCACUAGAUGCCAGUGGCACCCUCUUCCAGUCUUAAUAAUCCCAAAUCUCUCCAGACAUUGCCAAAAUGUCUUUGGGGGACAAAAUUGCCCCUAACUGAGAACCACUAGUCUGAGCCAUUUUGAAAUAGAUGAAUGAACUACAGACGUAAGUUCUCUAAAAUGUGCCUCGAAUGUGAGAUGGUAUGCUCUCACCAAGGAUUUCACUUACACCACAAAUAGCAUUUUACUAGAAGUAAACUGAAACCCAUUGCCUAACAGGAACAGUGAGAUGCUUGGCACUAACAAGUUACGGUGAGCAAAAUAGUCUAAACUUGUUCACAUAUGCAAACUCAACAUUUAAUUUUCUGCAAGAUUACCCACAAUAAUUACAAAGUUUCUAUACUAUAGCCUUAAAAGCUUGGAACUAUGAGAUCCAUAAGAAUUGAUCCUUUAUCUUUUACCUUUACUGUGUACUGUGUCUGUGCAACAUAGCAAAUGAAUGUAGGCAAUAUUUUCUUCUAAUUUCUAGGAGUACUAAAGUGAAACUUUCCUAAAAUUAAAUUGAUUAUUAAAUAAUCCAAUGGAGGGAAAUACAGAGUCAACUCGAAUGUACAA